GAUGAAGAACUUAGCGAAAUGCGAUAAGUAAUGUGAAUUGCAGAAUUCAGUGAAUCAUCGAAUCUUUGAACGCACAUUGCGCCCGCCAGUAUUCUGGCGGGCAUGCCUGUCUGAGCGUCAUUUCAACCCUCAUGCCCCUAGGGCGUGGUGUUGGGGAUCGGCCAAAGCCCGCGAGGGACGGCCGGCCCCUAAAUCUAGUGGCGGACCCGUCGUGGCCUCCUCUGCGAAGUAGUGAUAUUCCGCAUCGGAGAGCGACGAGCCCCUGCCGUUAAACCCCCAACUUUCCAAGGUUGACCUCAGAUCAGGUAGGAAUACCCGCUGAACUUAAGCAUAUCAAUAAGCGGAGGA
rnacentral:misc_RNA from 1 species